rnacentral:rRNA from 1 species
GUAUGAUAUUGGCUUACCGUGGCAGUGACGGUUAACGGGGAAUUAGGGUUCGAUUCCGGAGAGGAAGCCUGAGAAACGGCUACCACAUCUAAGGAAGGCAGCAGGCGCGCAAAUUACCCAAUCCUAACAGAAUAAGGGAGGUAGUGACAAGAAAUAACAAUACAAGGCAGUAAAAUUGUUUUGUAAUUGGAAUGAUAGAAAUUUAAACACUUUCUAAAGUAUCAAUUGGAGGGCAAGUCUGGUGCCAGCAGCCGCGGUAAUUCCAGCUCCAAUAGCGUAUAUUAAAGUUGUUGCAGUUAAAAAGCUCGUAGUUGGAUUUUUGCUAAAAUUAACUGGGUGCUUUUUAUAAAAGUAGUAUCUUGGUAUGUUUUUGGCAUUUAUGUCCUAAGAAAAUGUUUUUUACUUGAUUGUAAUAAACAACAAUUAGGAUUUUUACUUUGAGAAAAUUAGAGUGUUUCAAGCAGGCUUACGCUUUGAAUACUGCAGCAUGGAAUAAUAAAAUAGGAUUUUGGUUCUACAUUAUUGGUUUUAAGAGCUAAAUUAAUGAUUAAUAGGGACAGUUGGGGGCAUUUGUAUUUAACU